AUGGCAGACAGGUCACGUGCGUGUGGGUUCCUCCAUUCUAUUCUUGUCCUGAUUUGCUCCGAGCAUAUAUAGGGAUAUGAUCGACAAAUGUCGUUCACGUCCCGUGUGGCACGACUCGGGGGCAUUCACGUAUCUUCCUCCUUGUUUCUGCUAGUGUUUUCGUUGAUAGGGUGAAGUGAAGGGAUUGCUGAAAAGCACCAUAUAGCCCCCUCUCAUCCUCUCUCCAAGCUUCAUAUUUCCCUUCACAUAAUCUUUCCAAUUAAUCAUUUUCCCAUUUCCUUUUUCUGACAAGUAUACACUCAUCAAGAUGAGUGCCAAUUCCACCUUGAAAAAACAAAGUCCAAGACUCCAAGUAGCAGAAUGGCCGUGGAGGGUCUGGACCUAAAUGUGUUGCACCUCUUCUGGGCCACAACACCGUCGCUGCUGCCAUCUUCGGCCCAGUAGUAAUCACACUGUCAUACACAAUAUAAAGCCCAGUAGGAGUCAUGUACAUGAUUGUGAUCUCCGAGGAGAGAAAAAAAAAAGCCCAGUUUCUCUUUUAGAACAGAAAAAAAAAUCUUUUAAGAGAAUGAAAUAAAUCAAACCAGCUGAAGAAUAAUACAGCAAGAGAACACGUGUGAUCUGAACGGCCUUUUCCAUGACUUGACUCUAGUGGCAUCGCAGCAGGCAACAGCAGCAGCAUGCUUUUGUUUUACUUUUUUGCAGCACCCAAAAAGGUUCUCUGAUCGAUCGAUCCCUGCAUGAA
rnacentral:lncRNA from 1 species